GCCCUCAUCAACUGGAUGUGAAAUGUUAUUUUAUUCAUAUCACAGCCAGCUUUGAUGAGCGUGA
rnacentral:pre_miRNA from 14 species